rnacentral:rRNA from 1 species
CGGAAUUACUGGGCGUAAAGCGUGCGUAGGCGGUUCUAUAAGUCGGGUGUGAAAGCCCCGGGCUCAACCUGGGAAAUGCAUUCGAGACUGCGUAGCUAGGGUGCGGAAGAGGGAAGCGGAAUUUCCGGUGUAGCGGUGAAAUGCGUAGAUAUCGGAAGGAACACCAGUGGCGAAAGCGGCUUCCUGGUCCAGCACCGACGUUCAGGCACGAAAGCGUGGGGAGCAAACAGG